rnacentral:lncRNA from 1 species
UCCUUUGGACCCUGGGGCUGUAAGCUCAAGCGGGUUGUUGUUUCAAAUGAAAAGUUCCUGGGUAUCACACACUUGGUAACACUUCUGCCUAAGAAAUUAAACUCUCAGCUCUCUGUGGACAUUCCCAUUGGCUAAUCUUCACUUGAACAUACAAUACCUAAAAUAAGAAAUCGGUCAGCUUUGAAUAUCUCGGACUUGUUGACAGAUCGUCUCCAUAUUUCAUUUCUGUAGCUCUGGCCCUACUUCUCUGCCAAUCAGCAGGAGCCUCUUCCACCAAGGAGAUCUGAAAACAAGAGGUUUUGGUUCUUAUUCAUGAUCAUGUUUGGAACCAGAUCCAGAUAUGAAUUCAACUGUCAAACACUCCAGACUUCUCCUUGACUCCACUCAGAGGACAGGUGGUGCACCUCACCUUUCAUGUGGUCAGAUGUCCUAUGACAAAAUGUUCACCAUGGCAUGGCAAAUGGCUCCGAUG